rnacentral:rRNA from 1 species
AGAGUUUGAUCCUGGCUCAGAACGAACGCUGGCGGCGCGUUUUAAGCAUGCAAGUCGAACGGUAGUGUGUCUUCGGAUGCACGAGAGUGGCGAACGGGUGAGUAACACGUAGGUAAUCUACCGACGGGCUGGGGAUAGCCUGUGGAAACACAGGGUAAUACCGAAUGAGCUCAUACUGCGGUGGCGGUAUGAGGAAAGGUGCUACGGCACCGCCCGACGAUGAGCCUGCGGCCCAUUAGUUAGUUGGUGGGGUAAGAGCCUACCAAGGCGACGAUGGGUAGCCGGCCUGAGAGGGUGAUCGGCCACAUUGGGACUGAGAUACGGCCCAGACUCCUACGGGAGGCAGCAGCUAAGAAUCUUCCGCAAUGGACGAAAGUCUGACGGAGCGACGCCGCGUGGGGGAAGAAGGCGGUGACGUUGUAAACCCCUUUUCUGCGUGAGGAAUAAGCAUAGGAGGGAAUGCCUAUGUGAUGACGGUAGCGCAGGAAUAAGCCCCGGCUAAUUACGUGCCAGCAGCCGCGGUAACACGUAUGGGGCGAGCGUUGUUCGGAAUUAUUGGGCGUAAAGGGCGCGCAGGCGGACCAACAAGUCUGGUGUGAAAGACCGCAGCUCAACUGCGGGGACGCGCUGGAAACUGUUGAACUUGAGUACCGGAGGGGAAGCUGGAAUUCCUGGUGUAGGGGUGAAAUCUGUAGAUAUCAGGAAGAACAUCGGUGGCGAAGGCGAGCUUCUGGCCGUGUACUGACGCUGAGGCGCGAAAGCGUGGGGAGCGAACAGGAUUAGAUACCCUAGUAGUCCACGCCGUAAACGAUGUGCACUAGGCGUUGGGUUUAAGCGACUCAGUGCCGGAGCUAACGCGGUAAGUGCACCGCCUGGGGAGUAUGCCCGCAAGGGUGAAACUCAAAGGAAUUGACGGGGGCCCGCACAAGCGGUGGAGCAUGUGGUUUAAUUCGAUGAUACGCGAGGAACCUUACCAGGGCUUGACAUAUACCGGGAGUCGUAAGAGAUUACGGUGCUUUUCGGAGCCGGUAUACAGGUGCUGCAUGGCUGUCGUCAGCUCGUGCCGUGAGGUGUUGGGUUAAGUCCCGCAACGAGCGCAACCCUUGUGAUCUGUUGCCAGCACGUAACGGUGGGGACUCAGAUCAGACUGCCGGUGACAAACCGGAGGAAGGUGGGGACGACGUCAAGUCAUCAUGGCUCUUAUGUCCUGGGCUACACACGUGCUACAAUGGCCGGAACAGAGUGAUGCGAAACCGCGAGGUGGAGCAAAUCGCCGAAACCCGGUCUCAGUUCGGAUUGGAGUCUGAAACUCGACUCCAUGAAGGUGGAAUCGCUAGUAAUCGCGCAUCAGCAUGGCGCGGUGAAUACGUUCCCGGGCCUUGUACACACCGCCCGUCACACCACCCGAGUUGGGGGUACCCGAAGCCGUUAGCCUAACCAGAACGGAGGGCGAUGUCGAAGGUACGCCUGGUAAGGGGGGUGAAGUCGUAACAAGGUAACC